rnacentral:tRNA from 1 species
GUUUAAAUAGCUUAUGAUAGAGUGUGAUACUGAAGAUAUCAAGGAAAUAGAUUUAUUUUUAAAUA